rnacentral:rRNA from 1 species
AUUGAACGCUGGCGGCAGGCUUAACACAUGCAAGUCGAGCGGGGGAAGGUAGCUUGCUACCGGACCUAGCGGCGGACGGGUGAGUAAUGCUUAGGAAUCUGCCUAUUAGUGGGGGACAACAUCUCGAAAGGGAUGCUAAUACCGCAUACGUCCUACGGGAGAAAGCAGGGGAUCUUCGGACCUUUCGCUAAUAGAUGAGCCUAAGUCGGAUUAGCUAGUUGGUGGGGUAAAGGCCUACCAAGGCGACGAUCUGUAGCGGGUCUGAGAGGAUGGUCCGCCACACUGGGACUGAGACACGGCCCAGACUCCUACGGGAGGCAGCAGUGGGAAUAUUGGACAAUGGGGGGAACCCUGAUCCAGCCAUGCCGCGUGUGUGAAGAAGGCCUUAUGGUUGUAAAGCACUUUAAGCGAGGAGGAGGCUACUCUAGUUAAUACCUAGGGAUAGUGGACGUUACUCGCAGAAUAAGCACCGGCUAACUCUGUGCCAGCCGCCGCAGUAA